CCAUCCAGAGCCUGAGUUUACCAGCUUCACAGCCAUAAGGACAGGAAACAAUGUCCGCAUCACCUUAAAGAAAAAGUCAGACAAACUGGAGAUGUCAAAAGACGAGUUAUCAGUGUGGGGCGUUCAAGACACACAGGAAUACGGCUGUAUCCUGGAGGCCAAAGAAACCAGUAAAGAGACUGACUCCUUCAGCUGUGAGAUUAAAGGGCUACCCAACACACGAUUCCAAAAGUUAAAGAUAAAGUAUGGUGACAAGACAAUAAGCCUCAGUGAUUCUUCAUCACACCAUGUCUCUCCAAUACUGCUUUCCCUGCUGAUAAUUGGACAUAUUGCCAGUAAGUUGUGUUGACAUAUUGGCUUUUUCUAUAAACCCUGAACAAAUUUCAAUUUCAAUUAUGUAGUACAAUUUCUGGAGACCUUUUCUACUCCAUCUUGACAGCGUUCUAGUUUUUCUGCUCAGGUUAAAUUGGUUACUGUUUGGCUUUUUGUAUUGGUGGCUAUCUGUCUAUGGUGGAGGAGACGCCCAGGGAGAUGAAUGGAUUUUGACCAAUGAUGCUCCUCUCUGUUCAAGUGUUUUCAUGUUAUGUCUGUUUGAUUAAUAAAUCACUUUGAUGAAUAAAUCUUUCUUGUUUAAAAAUG